ensembl:lncRNA
AUGCAGGACCCAUCUCAUUACCUACAGGGGGGGCGGGGGGGGGGGGGGGGGGGGGGGGGGUCAGAAAAGAGAGAUGGAACCCCUAUAGGAUUCUGGAAAAGUGCUGCCGAUUGGCUGUUGCCCCAGGUGAUAGCGCUGCGGCAGUGGCACUCUGUUAUCUUAACAAAGUGGGUCCAUGGGCUAUUGUACAGAAAAACCUCCUCUCUCCUUCACUCCCCUCCUCCUCUCUCCAUCACUCCCCUCCUCCUCCUCUCCAACACUCCCGCCCUCCUCCUCUACAUCACUCCCCUCCUCCUCCUCUCCAUCACUCCCGCCCUCCUCCUCCAUCACUCCCCUCCUCCUCUCUCCAUCACUCCCCUCCUCCUCCUCUCCUUUACUCCCCUCCUCCUCUCUCCAUCACUCCCCUCCUCCUCUCUCCAUCACUCCCCUCCUCCUCUCUCCAUCACUCCCCUCCUCCUCUCUCCUUCACUCCCCUCCUCCUCUCUCCAUCACUCCCCUCCUCGGCCUCUCCAUCACUCCCCUCCUCCUCUCUCCUUCACUCCCCUCCUCCUCUCUCCAUCACUCCCCUCCUCCGCCUCUCCAUCACUCCCCUCCUCCUCUCUCCAUCACUCCCCUCCUCCUCUCACCUUCACUCCCCUCCUCCUCUCUCCAUCACUCCCCUCCUCCUCUCUCCAUCACUCCCCUCCUCCUCCUCUCCAUCACUCCCGCCCUCCUCCUCCAUCACUCCCCUCCUCCUCUCUCCAUCACUCCCCUCCUCCUCCUCUCCAUCACUCCCGCCCUCCUCCUCCAUCACUCCCCUCCUCCUCUCUCCAUCACUCCCCUCCUCCUCCUCUCCAUCACUCCCGCCCUCCUCCUCCAUCACUCCCCUCCUCCUCUCUCCAUCACUCCCCUCCUCCUCUCUCCAUCACUCCCCUCCUCCUCCUCUCCAUCACUCCCGCCCUCCUCCUCCAUCACUCCCCUCCUCCUCUCUCCAUCACUCCCCUCCUCCUCUCUCCAUCACUCCCCUCCUCCUCCUCUCCAUCACUCCCGCCCUCCUCCUCCAUCACUCCCCUACUCCUCUCUCCAUCACUCCCCUCCUCCUCUCUCCAUCACUCCCCUCCUCCUCCUCCUCUCUUCAUCACUCCCCUCCUCCUCCUCUCCAUCACUCCCCUCGUCCUCCUCUCUCCAUCACUCCCCUCCUCCUCCUCUCUUCAUCACUCCCCUCCUCCUCCUCCUCCUCUCUCCAUCACUCCCCUCGUCCUCCUCUCUCCAUCACUCCCCUUCUCCUCUCUCCAUCACUCCCAUCCUCCUCUCUCCAUCACUCCUCCUCCUCUCUCCAUCACUCCCCUCCUCCUCCUUUCUCCACCACUCCCCUCUUCCUCCUCCUUCUGCUCCUCUCUCCAUCACUCCCCUCUUCCUCCUCCUCUCUCCAUCACUCCUCCUCCUACUUUUUCCAUCACUACCCUCUUCCUCCUCCUCUCUCCAUCACUCCUCCUCCUCCUCUCUCCAUCACUCCUCCUCCUCUCUCCAUCACUCCUCCUCCUCUCUCCAUCACUCCUCCUCCUCUCUCCAUCACUCCUCCUCCUCUCUCCAUCACUCCCGCCCUCCUCUCUCCAUCACUCCUCCUCCUCUCUCCAUCACUCCUCCUCCUCCUCCUUCUCCAUCACUCCUCCUCCUCUCUCCAUCACUCCUCCUCCUCUCUCCAUCACUCCUCCUCCUCUCUCCAUCACUCCUCCUCCUCUCUCCAUCACUCCUCCUCCUCUCUCCAUCACUCCCCUCCUCCUCCUUUCUCCACCACUCCCCUCUUCCUCCUCCUUCUGCUCCUCUCUCCAUCACUCCCCUCUUCCUCCUCUUCUUUCUCCUCCUCUCUCCAUCACUUCCCUAUUCCUUUGGUGUCAAUAA